GAUUUCUAAUGUCGCUAAAGAAAAUUAUAUUUAAUAUAUGCUUAAGCCAUAUUAAAAAAAACGUCGUAAAUAACUGAGAAAAGCUUCAUCCAUGCACAGAGUUUUCUCAAUUCAAAUGAGAGUUGAAAGUGUGGGGCUUUCGCAGUCUAUAAAGGUCUACAUAAUAGCAAUGAUACAUUAACUGAAAUCUUUGUGUGCAGCCAGAACAUAUGUCGGUCUUGACUAAAUCGGAUGACUAUGCAAUAUAGUAUUUGUCGUUACUCGAAAUACAUGGUAUACGUUUAGUUCUGAUGUCGUGUGAGAUAAGGCAGCAAUGUAUGAUCAUUUGGUAACAUAGAUGUCGUAAUACCUAUAUUUGGUUGCCCAGAAGGGCAAGUGGCAAACCCUUUAACGCUUCGCUAAGCAAACAUGCAAGCUAUGGCCAGCUGGGUCAAAUGAGUAUUGCUUGAAUGCAAGUGUCGCAGAGACAGUCAAAAUACAUUAGGCCAAGAGCAAGAAACAAAAGGGAGGGUAAGACUGUGCUGCUUCAUAGACAAACACAGGCGACACUUUGACAAUUGACAAUUGGCUCGUCGCGGCGGCAAAUAUUGCAGAAGAGAACGGAAGUGCCAUAUAAAGCAGGUUCCAUGGCCUAAGCCGUUAAGGCCCAGACACUAAUAAUGUAUGCUUGGGCUUCAGAAAAAAACAUUUGUAUGGAGAAAGUUUUGACAUAUAUGUUAAAAAUUGGAACAAGUAUAG